ACCUGGAAUUACUAUAGGAUGCUAUACUUACCUGAGCAAAACCUAGCUCACCCAGCUUUCUAUCAAGGGGAUUAUUGUAGUUGCUACUGAUAGAUUCUAGAGUCUGUGUGGUGCAAAGGUACUGUACUAGUGGCUGGAUACAGCACUAAUGAAACAGAUACUGUUACUACAAACCUACAGAGGAAAAGAGAGGAAACCAGGAUUAGAAGGAAUAAUGAAGAUUUGAAGGUGAAAAAAAUGUAGUUUUCAGAGACUCAUGGGAAGUUUAAAGUACAGAAGAUCUUAGAGACAGUCUAGUUGUGCCUUUUCAAACUUUAAAGUGCAUCCAAAUCAUCUAGGAAUCCAAUCA